UAGCAUAUCAAUAAGCGGAGGAAAAGAAACCAACAGGGAUUGCCUUAGCCACGGCGAGUGAAGCGGCAACAGCUCAAAUUUGAAAGCUGGCCCUUUUAGGGUCCGCGUUGUAAUUUGUAGAGGAUGAUUCGGCGAGGGCUCCUGCCUAAGUCCCCUGGAACGGGGCGUCAUAGAGGGUGAGAAUCCCGUAUGCGGUAGGUUGCCUUAGCCAUGUGAAUCUCCUUCGACGAGUCGAGUUGUUUGGGAAUGCAGCUCUAAAUGGGAGGUAAAUUUCUUCUAAAGCUAAAUACUGGCCAGAGACCGAUAGCGCACAAGUAGAGUGAUCGAAAGAUGAAAAGCACUUUGGAAAGAGAGUUAAAAAGUACGUGAAAUUGUUGAAAGGGAAGCGCUUGCAACCAGACUUGUCCGCAGUUGCUCAGCCGGUCUCCUGACCGGCGUACUCUUCUGCGGCCAGGCCAGCAUCAGUUCGGGCGGUCGGAUAAAGGCCUCGGGAAUGUAGCUCCUCUCGGGGAGUGUUAUAGCCCGGGGUGGAAUGCGACCAGCCUGGACUGAGGAUCUCGCUUCGGCAAGGAUGCUGGCGUAAUGGUUGUAAGCGGCCCGUCUUGAAACACGGACCAAGGAGUCUAACAUCUAUGCGAGUGUUCGGGUGUCAAACCCGUACGCGUAAUGAAAGUGAACGGAGGUGGGAACCCGCAAGGGUGCACCAUCGGCCGAUCCUGAUGUCUUCGGAUGGAUUUGAGCAAGAGCAUAGCUGUUGGGACCCGAAAGAUGGUGAACUAUGCCUGAAUAGGGUGAAGCCAGAGGAAACUCUGGUGGAGGCUCGCAGCGGUUCUGACGUGCAAAUCGAUCGUCAAAUUUGGGUAUAGGGGCGAAAGACUAAUCGAACCAUCUAGUAGCUGGUUCCUGCC
rnacentral:rRNA from 1 species